UAGGUCACUACUUCUGGAAUGGGUAAUGACCCAAACCUAUAUGGCCCCUGGAUUGGACUGCGGCCGAUCAGGCUGUUGGUGAGGUAAUGGCCCACCAAACCUGUAACCGGUACGGGCUCUGAGAGGAGGAGCCCGGAGAUGGGCACUGAGACAAGGGCCCAGGCCCUAUGGGGCGCAGCAGGCGCGAAACCUCUGCAAUAGGCGAAAGCUUGACAGGGUUACUCUGAGUGAUUUCCGCUAAGGAGAUCUUUUGGCACCUCUAAAAAUGGUGCAGAAUAAGGGGUGGGCAAGUCUGGUGUCAGCCGCCGCGGUAAUACCAGCACCCCGAGUGGUCGGGACGUUUAUUGGGCCUAAAGCAUCCGUAGCCGGUUCUACAAGUCUUCCGUUAAAUCCACCUGCUCAACAGAUGGGCUGCGGAAGAUACUAUGGAGCUAGGAGGCGGGAGAGGCAAGCGGUACUCGAUGGGUAGGGGUAAAAUCCGUUGAUCCAUUGAAGACCACCAGUGGCGAAGGCGGCUUGCCAGAACGCGCUCGACGGUGAGGGAUGAAAGCUGGGGGAGCAAACCGGAUUAGAUACCCGGGUAGUCCCAGCUGUAAACGAUGCAGACUCGGUGAUGAGUUGGCUUUAUGCCAACUCAGUGCCGCA
rnacentral:rRNA from 1 species